GGCAGAGUAGUUUAGUAGUGAGAGCACGGAACUGGAGUUCCUGACACCCAGGUUCUAGUCCUGGCUCUGCCA
rnacentral:tRNA from 1 species